rnacentral:rRNA from 1 species
UACGGAGGGGGCUAGCGUUGUUCGGAAUUACUGGGCGUAAAGCGCACGUAGGCGGAUUUGUAAGUCAGGGGUGAAAUCCCGGGGCUCAACCUCGGAACUGCCUUUGAUACUGCAAAUCUCGAGUCCGGAAGAGGUGAGUGGAAUUCCUAGUGUAGAGGUGAAAUUCGUAGAUAUUAGGAAGAACACCAGUGGCAAAGGCGGCUCACUGGUCCGGUACUGACGCUGAGGUGCGAAAGCGUGGGGAGCAAACAGG